UGCAAUGAUGAGUAAAACUAUAAUCUCGUUAAUCCGAUAUAUUAUUCUGUGAGGAUAAACUCUCUAAUCCAUUCUUUAUAGAGUUUCUGAGC